UACGGGGGGGGCAAGCGUUGUUCGGAUUUACUGGGCGUAAAGGGCGCGUAGGCGGCGUGUUAAGUCACUUGUGAAAUCUCUAAGCUUAACUUAGAACGGUCAAGUGAUACUGACGUGCUAGAGUGCAGAAGGGGCAACCGGAAUUCUUGGUGUAGCGGUGAAAUGCGUAGAUAUCAAGAGGAACACCUGAGGUGAAGACGGGUUGCUGGGCUGACACUGACGCUGAGGCGCGAAAGCUAGGGUAGCAAACGGG
rnacentral:rRNA from 1 species